CGAUCUAAGAUAAUGUCGGAGGCACGUUGCAUAUAUUAUAAUACAGUACUGUUAGGUAAAUGAAAGCAUGUGAUCACUUUUGUGAUCGUUGACCCUUCGAUGCCCUCUAUAACGCCAGAGUGUGCUAUAAAUUAAAACCUCCGUUUUGGCUAUCUAAAAAAAAAAAAAAAAGAAAGAAAGCAGAGCAAUGAGGAGCUUAAGAUUGAGCAUAGCUGUUUUCGCUGCAGUUUUUGUUUGUUUCUCCAUCAUGCAAUCCCCUACAGUUGCAUCGCCCAUGAAAAUGGGUGUCGCUCCAUACGGUCUCUGUACAGAUGGGGAUCUCUCCGGUGUAGUAUGCAAGGAGAGAUGCCUCAAGGCGCCUGGAAGAAAUUUUAUUGACGGCAUAUGCAUUCCUAAAUCGAGGGCUUGUAUGUGCUGCUAUGGAAUCGGGGGUUUGAGCACAGCAUGAUCAAAUUACAAAAAAAAUAUUGAAGACGAUGUCACUUUGUGUGAAUGUGUUGCAAUUUGAUUCGAGUGUGUUGUAUUCUACUUUGUUAUACCAUGAUUUGUGUUCUGUUUGUUUGCGGUGAUUAAGUUUAUAUAAUGGUUCCUUAGUACU